AGAGUUUGAUCAUGGCUCAGAAUCAACGCUGGCGGCGUGCCUAACACAUGCAAGUCGAACGCGAAAGUGGAGCAAUCCAUGAGUAGAGUGGCAAACGGGUGAGUAACACGUGGGUGACCUGCCUUCGAGCGGGGGAUAACGUCCCGAAAGGGACGCUAAUAUCGCAUGACAUCCUGUCUUUUAACAGAUGGAGAUCAAAGCCGGGGAUCGCAAGACCUGGCACUCGAAGAGGGGCCCGCGCCUGAUUAGCUAGUUGGUGAGGUAAUGGCUCACCAAGGCGACGAUCAGUAUCCGGCCUGAGAGGGCGGACGGACACACUGGGACUGAGACACGGCCCAGACUCCUACGGGAGGCAGCAGUGGGGAAUUGUUCGCAAUGGGCGCAAGCCUGACGACGCAACGCCGCGUGGAGGAUGAAGAUCUUCGGGUCGUAAACUCCUUUCGAUCGAGAUGAAUGGCCUCCGGGUGAACAAUCCGGAGGAAUGACAGUACCGAGAGAAGAAGCCCCGGCUAACUCCGUGCCAGCAGCCCGCGGUA
rnacentral:rRNA from 1 species